rnacentral:rRNA from 1 species
ACGGUGUCUUCGGACUUAGUGGCGCACGGGUGCGUAACACGUAUGCAACCUACCUUACAUUGGGGGAUAGCCUUUCGAAAGGGAGAUUAAUACCGCAUAAGACAGUAGUCUGGCAUCAGACAGCUGUUAAAGAUUUAUCGAUGUAAGCUGGGCAUGCGACCAAUUAGUUAGUUGGCGAGGUAAUGGCUCACCAAGACUAUGAUUGGUAGGGGAACUGAGAGGUCAAUCCCCCACACUGGCACUGAGAUACGGGCCAGACUCCUACGGGAGGCAGCAGUAGGGAAUAUUGGGCAAUGGACGCAAGUCUGACCCAGCCAUGCCGCGUGCAGGAAGAAGGCGUUAUGCGUUGUAAACUGCUUUUAUACAGGAAGAAACGACUCUUGCGAGAGGCAUUGACGGUACUGUAUGAAUAAGCACCGGCUAACUCCGUGCCAGCAGCCGCGGUAAUACGGAGGGUGCAAGCGUUGUCCGGAUUUAUUGGGUUUAAAGGGUGCGCAGGUGGUUUAUUAAGUCAGUGGUGAAAGACGGUCGCUCAACGAUUGCAGUGCCAUUGAGACUGGUAGACUUGAGUAAAGUAAAGGUGGGCGGAAUUGAUAGUGUAGCGGUGAAAUGCAUAGAUAUUAUCAAGAACUCCCAUUGCGUAGGCAGCUCACUUGGCUUUUACUGACACUCAUGC